rnacentral:rRNA from 1 species
ACGAACGCUGGCGGCGUGCCUAACACAUGCAAGUCGAACGGGUCAGUGCUUCGCAUUGAUCACUUUGAGGUAGAGCCCAAACCCCCCUUUAAGGAUUUUAUUCUGAGAUUUUAGAGGGAGUUUGGGGAACCAGUCCCUCAGAGUAACCAAUGCGGAGCAUUGGUUAGUGGCGGACGGGUGAGUAACACGUAGGUAACCUGCCCUUGGGAGGGGGAUAACUCGAGGAAACUCGAGCUAAUACCCCAUAAAACCACAGACUGGGAUGUCAGUGGUAAAAAAGCUUUGUAUUAAGUGCAGGGCGCUUGAGGAUGGGCCUGCGGCCUAUCAGGUAGUUGGUGAGGUAAUGGCUCACCAAGCCUAAGACGGGUAGCCG